UACGUAGGGUGCAAGCAUUAAUCGGAUUUAUUGGGCGUAAAGGACGCGUAGGCGGAUUUAUAAGUCGAGUGUGAAAUACCGGGGCUUAACCUCGGUGCUGCACUGGAAACUGUAAAUCUAGAGGAUAGAAGGAGAAAACGGAAUUCCACAAGUAGCGGUGAAAUGCGUAGAUAUCAGGAGGAACACCAACAGCGAAGGCAGCACUCUGGGCCGGUACUGACGCUGAGGAGCGAAAGCAUGGGGAGCGAACAGG
rnacentral:rRNA from 1 species